AUUGAACGCUGGCGGCAUGCUUUACACAUGCAAGUCGAACGGUAACAGGGUGCUUGCACCGCUGACGAGUGGCGAACGGGUGAGUAAUACAUCGGAAUGUACCCAGUAAUGGGGGAUAACGCUUCGAAAGGAGUGCUAAUACCGCAUACGCCCUGAGGGGGAAAGUGGGGGACCGCAAGGCCUCACGUUAUUGGAGCAGCCGAUGGCUGAUUAGCUAGUUGGUGAGGUAAAGGCUCACCAAGGCGACGAUCAGUAGCGGGUCUUAGAGGACGAUCCGCCACACUGGAACUGAAACACGGUCCAGACUCCUACGGGGGGCAGCAGUGGGGAAUCUCGGACAAUGGGCGAAAGCCUGAUCCAGCAAUGCCGCGUGCGUGAAGAAGGCCUUCGGGUUGUAAAGCGCUUUUGUCUGGGAGCAAAUCCUGGCCUCUAAUACAGGUCGGGGAUGAGAGUACCAGAAGAAUAAGGACCGGCUAACUACGUGCCAGCCGCCGCGGUAAGAC
rnacentral:rRNA from 1 species